GGACAUUAAGCUCAUGGAAGAUAUGGGUGUUAAUGGCUAUCGUUUCUCUAUCUCGUGGGCCAGAAUUCUGCCCAAGGGGACAUUUGGAGAUGUUAAUAUGGCCGGAAUUGAGCACUACAAUAAGCUUAUUGAUGCACUCUUACAGAAAGGGAUCCAACCGUUGAUCACAUUAACACAUUAUGACAUACCACAAGAACUUGAGGAAAGAUAUGGUGGUUGGCUUAGUUCACAAAUACAGGAUGAUUUCAGCUAUUAUGCAGACAUAUGCUUCAAAUAUUUUGGGGACAGAGUCAAAUACUGGACAACCAUCAAUGAGCCUAACCUUAUGGCUGUUCGUGGCUAUAGACUAGGAACUUACCCUCCAAGUCGAUGCUCCGGUAUAGUUGGGAAUUGUAGUGCUGGUGAUUCAGAAAGGGAGCCCUUCAUUGCAGCUCACAAUAUGAUCCUAUCUCAUGCAGCUGCUGUCAGCACUUACCGUACCAGAUAUCAGAAAAGACAAGGAGGAAUGAUUGGAAUUUCUUUGGAUACCCAAUGGUAUGAACCAUUCAGCAAUUCCCCAGAAGACAUAGCUGCAACUGAGAGAGCUCGUUCGUUCUACGUCAACUGGUAACCCUUCCUUGUCAAUAGUUCAGUACUACCAUCUGGUUUCUUGUGCAUCAGAAAGAGAUUAUUUUUUACUAAGCA
rnacentral:misc_RNA from 1 species